rnacentral:lncRNA from 1 species
GGAUCAAUGUGUGCGGCGUGCGUCCUGGUCCGCUGGAGGCUCUCGCAUGCGCAAAGCGAGUUGUCUGCCGUGAUGACGCAGCUGUAUAUCUCGGCUCAUACGUAUCACACCUGGACACGCCUGGUAGCGUUGGAAAGGUAAACUCAUUGGCUAGAAGCCCAAGUGAUUGAUAUAUCAAUAGCCAAUACGCUGUCCCUAUACUAAAGCCGCGUAACAAAGUAAACAAAGCCCAUUGGCCCUUCGAACUGGGAGCGCUCCAUCUACUUCACGGGCUGUACCGGGGUGAAAACUGAACAGAAAAAGACGGGGACACUUUCAUUUUGUAGCCAGCAAAGUGAUGAAAACAAGCAUACCCAACAACUCCAUACUGGAGGUAGAGAAAAUAUCCAUGCGGCUUUGAAAAUCUGGAUGUUAGUUGACGAACAAAGUUUGGAGAUGGUAAACAAAUGGACUUUACACGACAAUAUUCACAAGCUGGAAUAAUUUUAUGAAAAACCAUGUGGAUGCUUUUGAUCAGUGGAUUCUCACGGACAUUUGGAAUAUAAAUAAUUGAGGAAUGGACACAUAUUACGGUUCUCGGAUUGCUUCAAAGCGACAGAGGUCUGCGCUGGCGUCGGUUACCGGGAAGCCUUUCAGAAGUACAUCCUGCCCAAAGGUAAGCGGCUAUCUUCAGAUUUCUGGGAGGGUAAUGUCGGGGCGGGCCUACAGCAGG